GCAUCGGUGGCUCAGUGGUAGAAUUCUUGCCUUCCACGUAGGAGACCUGGGUUCAAUUACUGGUCAGUGCA
rnacentral:tRNA from 1 species